UAGCGGACCCCGUCUGCCGCAGUCAGGUCGCAGGCACGGCUUCCGCAUUCCGCAGCUGUUUUCCUCCGGUUCUCGCCCUCUGGCCGCUGCCCGGAUGCGUUAAUGUUCCCCCCCCCCACCCGGGGAGAAGACCAGAAGGGCAAAUGGAGGCCGGGGAUGGGGAAGACACGAGAGAACCAGCUCCGGCUUCAGUUCCAACGAGAGGAUCCCAAUCUCCGCGAACUUCGGCAACCCGGAAGGGCGAAAAAAAGCAGUUUCUGCCCUGAGACUGAAUGACAGGCGGAGGAGCCCAUCUCCAGAGCAGCGGGCACUGGAUAACCUGGGGCUCCUCGGGGGAGAUGGUGAUCGUAUUUCCCGAAGCCUUCUGGGGACUCCUCAGCAGCGUCAGUCCUCAUCUUCAAGGGACAUUUGAGAAAUGGUCAUAUCUCCACUCUUUCCUCUCUUUGGGAGAAACUACACCUGCCAACAUGGUGAUCUGUGACAUUUAGUCUCUAUAACUGCGAUAAAAAUGAGGUUUUUUUGUUGAAGCCA